rnacentral:rRNA from 1 species
GACGAACCGUGCGAGCGUUGUUCGGAUUCACUGGGCUUAAAGGGCGCGUAGGCGGACUCGCCAGUCUGUGGUGAAAGCCCCCAGCUCAACUGGGGAAGUGCCGUGGAUACUGCGAGUCUGGAGGAGGGUAGGGGCGUCUGGAACGCUGGGUGGAGCGGUGAAAUGCGUUGAUAUCCAGCGGAACUCCGGUGGCGAAGGCGAGGCGCUGGACCCUUUCUGACGCUGAGGCGCGAAAGCCAGGGGAGCAAACGGG